rnacentral:rRNA from 1 species
UACGUAGGGUGCAAGCGUUAAUCGGAAUUACUGGGCGUAAAGCGUGCGCAGGCGGUUAUGCAAGACAGAUGUGAAAUCCCCGGGCUCAACCUGGGACCUGCAUUUGUGACUGCAUCGCUAGAGUACGGCAGAGGGGGAUGGAAUUCCGCGUGUAGCAGUGAAAUGCGUAGAUAUGCGGAGGAACACCGAUGGCGAAGGCAAUCCCCUGGGCCUGUACUGACGCUCAUGCACGAAAGCGUGGGGAGCAAACAGG